UACCGACUUGCUAAUGACAUGAAAUCUAAGGUCACAUUCAUUACAAUUUGUUGCACUAGUUAAUUGGCGUGACGAGUGUUGAUGCAGUGUUUCUAGAAUUAAAUUCUUUGUCAUGCAAAUGAAACGCACUCCGAUGCAUUUGUCACUAUAAAAGUGUUUUCUUAUACAUAAUUAUGCUAGGUUUAACGUGUUCAAAUCUCCCUUUAAAUAGGUUGAAAUGAAUUCUCAUCUGAAUUGAGAACUAUGGACCUAAAUGUCAAAAUAUAUUUAUCACACAACCAGAAGCGGGCAGGAUAUAUGGACAUCCUGGCAAAUGUCCGGUGGGCCAGCUCUAAAAAAAUACCAAAUCAUUUUUUAUUGUUAUUGCAAAGCAGACGACUUUUUCAAAGCAGACGACUUUUCAAAUAUUGACAGUAGGCUUUUGUAUAGACGUUACUUUUGUUUGAAAUUCAACUCUAGUAUACAAUUGUACAAGGCCACUCCAUAUCAUGUGCAGAAUGUCAAGCCAUACUAUGCUAUUGUUAAUAAUGUAACAGUAGCAUUGUCUUCCACACUUAUGCAAUGUCUUCAACAUUAUUGUUUGGCCGAAUCAUUUUUACAAACUUUCAUCAACUCACUCUGUCUGUUUGUCUGUCCGGUAAAAGGUUGUACACCUCAUUUCUCCCACACCCAAUUUCUGAAAUUGUGCGCAAUUAUAUCUUUUACCUUACAAAUCAAGAAUCCAUUAAAAAAAACAAUUAGUUAAUUAAAUAUUGGUAAUUAGUUGUUGUUUUUUUUUUGUAUCUCAAACAAUGAGAGAAAUUGUACUUGACUGAAUUGGUGGUAUAAGCUGAAUUAGUUCUCUUUAUACUUGAUAGAGAGAAAAGUUUAAAACUAACAAUACAUAACUAUAAAACAUUCUAUUUUCAUAAGCACUUCCCUGGAGGGUUGGCCUGAGGAGACUUUAGCUCUCUAGUUCGAACUUAGAAAACGAUCACCUUGAUGCCACCUCCCCCCCCCCCCAACCCUGUCCAACUGGUCUAGACAAGUGAUAAGACCAUAAGGGUAUUGAGAAAGCUAAAAGCAUGAAAUAGGGCUAAACAAAAACCAUUGGUAACAUAAUUUUAAUCGCACUGUUAGUCUAGAUCUAUUACAAAUAAAAUUGUACGACUGAUCCAAACUAACUGAUACUACUACGUUUAAUAUCAGCUUUUUGUUUUUCUUGUCGGCAUCGAUGUUAUUUCUUGAAUGUAAAUAUUACAGAUGUUAAUGUAUACAGAAGCUUGAGCUAGUUACGUUAAGUUAGUGUCUUUCUAAACGUUAGGCUUCCUCUUUUUAAUUAGUAAUAACAAAAGGUUUCCAAAACAUUUAAAAAUAUAUUUAUUUCAUUAAGGUUGGUAUUAUUAUAACCCUAUUCGCGACGCUAAAGGGUUAACUGUGUGUGAUUAGCUGACAUAUGUGACACAGGCCAGAAAUACAGUUAAGCGUGCUAUAUUGAAAGGCAAGGGACAGUACUGGCAUGAACUUUGCACGUGAAUAGCGCCCGUGUUAUGGUCAUCUGAUCAUAAGCCGGCGCAGACCAGAGACACAGUGUGUAAGAAAGCGGCAGUUCAAGACCGGAAAGCGUUGAGACCGGGACUGUUAGUCAGCCAUGAAGUCGGUCCUGGUGCAGUCCUCCAGUGAAACGUACGAGUCCAGAAAGAGAUAGAGUUUAGUUCGGUGAUGUACUGUGUAGCAUUAGUAGUUGUUGAUGUGUUUGUUGCCAAUUGUCUAGUAUUGGCUGUUAUCUACAUGACCAUUAUUAAAAUACCAGAUUGUUUGGAGCAUUGUUGUCAAGUUCUUGAUGUGUUGAUGUGUUGUGUUGUGAGUAGGAGAGAGGAUCGUAACAAUAUUUUACUGUCUAUAAUGUUGAGACUACCUACAUGUAUAAAUAAAAUACUUGACAUAAACCUACACUCGCAUGCAUCCAGUUUUUUAUGCAUUAUCAAACUUCGCAUAUUUUGAAGAGAAUCAGUCUACCAAUUGAUUACAGAUCAUAUGGAUCGCCUUUUGUGGACCGGGUUAUAUAUUUCAAUUCUUGGGCCGAUAUUGAUACCCAGUCCGCCGUUGUACAUAACAUUGUAUGACAUAACACACAUCAGAGUUUGGCUCAUUAUAUCUGCCUAUUUGAUAUAACAUCUUUUUAUCUGAUAACAUUUGUACACAUUUUCUUUGUUGUUGUGCUAAAUGUGACAGAGGUUCAAAUUAUUCUCUAUGCUUACAUUGGGUUGGUCCUAUAAUCUCCAUUGUAGAGUUUCGAAAUUUAAAAAAAAAAAAGGUCAGUAGAGGCGUCACUAGGGUUGGUCUCAUUCGUGCGGUCCGCACUCCUCACUGGCUACACCACUGAUAGUGAUGACUAUCUUCACCUUAAUCUUGUAGUUGACUUGGUGUUGUUACAUGUCCUGUUAUUGAAAGAAAACUAAUUUGAGAAAUAAAAAGUGUCUUCGUUUUGAUAGUCGUACCAGUAAAUGCAAAACCAAGUCUGUGUAAACUUUUUGCUUACUUUUUGUUGUUUUAAAAGGACUUUUUAACUGUUCUUGUCUCAAAUAUUUUACCUCAGGAUACGCCAAGCAGACAACACAGAAACAACUUCACAGCAAUAGUCAAUGGUCUGAUCUUGCACAACAGUUU